UACAGAGGGGGCAAGCGUUAUUCGGAAUUAUUGGGCGUAAAGGGCGCGUAGGCGGCCUGGCAAGUGGAAGGUGAAAUCCCUCGGCUUAACCGAGGAACUGCCCUCCAAACUGCUUGGCUUGAGUCCGGGAGAGGUGAGUGGAAUUCCCAGUGUAGCGGUGAAAUGCGUAGAUAUCUGGAGGAACACCGGUGGCGAAGGCGGCAUCCUGGACCAACACUGACGCUGAGGAGCGAAAGCCAGGGGAGCAAACGGG
rnacentral:rRNA from 1 species